CAGAAGCGCUUUUCUCUGCAGAGCUCGCUCUUCACCAAAUUAUCAUUUUUUGGUGUGCUGGGGAUAACGAGAAAGGACGCGCAGCAAAUGCUCCACAGGCGUUUUGUCCUGAGGUCAGGACAGCCCUGAGUGACGCGGGGGCAGGGUGAGGAGCCAACCCCAGCGGGGCUGAGGAGCCUCCCAGAUCCCUUUGGGAUCCUCCCGGCCCCUCUCCCAUCCCUGCCGGAUGCCCCCGUGUUGUCCCGUGUGUCUCUGCAGAGGUGAGACCGCGCUGUGCGGAUUGUUAAAUGCCAAUUUAACGCGCGUCCGUGCCGCGCCACAGCCCCGCCGAUUCCCCGCCGUUAAUUACAGCCGGGAUAUCAAAUGGGUUAUCGAUUAUCGGCCUCAUUAUCACCACAGCUGCCUGUCAGCACCCCGCGGUGGUUUGGGAGAACUCUUCCCCUUGCCGUUCCCGGGCUGAAGCUCGGUGGUGGAGCACCAGCUGCGUUCCCACCGGGAGCAGAUCCCGACUCUCCCGAGUGCAGGGGUGGUGUGAGGAGGUGUCGGGGUUCAGAGGAGAUGCAGGUGAAUAAUCCAGCAGUGUUCAAUGUGUGGUUGAGGAUUGGAGAGUGAAACUGUCCCGGAAGCACAGCCGAGGGUGUGAGUGCAUCCAGCCACAGAGCCCUGGGAUGGUUCGGCUUGGAAGGGAAGCUCGAAAUCACCCAGUGGGAUGCCUGGGGAAUUAUGGAUAUUUUGGGGGUUUUUUUUGCCAAAGAAAUACAGAAAUCACCUCUUGGUGAAGUCCCCCUGCACCUGGGGAUGAGUUACUCGCUCCUUCAGAUGCAGAGACACCCAAACAUCACCAGGAACAUCUGAGGGCGGUUUGAUGCUCCAGGAGCUUUGUCCGUGGAUUACCGCUGGAGUUGUCUGUGUGGGGGAUAGCAGGGGGAAAAUGCCUGACAUGAAGAAGUGGGAAGGAGUUGAAACAGAACCAUUCCAGGCCCCAAUGUGUAAUUUGGAGCUGAAAUCUCACGGCAGGAUUGGCCCAUCGCUCACAGACCCUGCGAGGAUAAUUUCCACGGAAGUUAUUUAUGUGGAGAAGCCGAGACACUUGUGCUUUUUGCAGGCAGAUAACGGGGGCUGGGGAAUGAUUUAUGCCAAAUGGAAACGAUUCCUCAUAAUUGCACCGAGUGCUUAAUAUUCCAUCUCCGCCCCGCGAACAGGAAACUGUCUGGCUUUCAAUUUAUGGUUUAAUUUGUGAUAAUCACGCUCCUAAAUCUAUCCACGUGCUCCUUUGCACUCUGGGAUGAAGUGAGGCCCUCUCCCCUGGGAGUCUCCUUGCUCACCCCUCGCUGUCAGCAGCGUUGUCUCCUUUCCUUGCCUCAUCUGCUUCUAAUCAGCCAGGAAUUGUGAAUUUAAUUUGGCUAAUUUCAGGAAUAAAACCCGUGUAUCCCCAUUUCCAGUGCGUCAAGAAUUCCUGGGUGUUCUACCCUCAUCCCAGGAGGGGAAAACGCUGGGAAUAGCAGCGGGUACAGAGCAGGGCAGAGUCACAGAACACUCUGCCAGUGGGAUUUUGUGGUUUUUUUGGGAGCAGGAGAGGCUGAAUGAGGAGCACAAAGUGCCUGGGGUGUCUCCCACCCCAGAGCCGGGAGCCAGCUCUGGAAAGCUCCAACCUCUCCAGAAUCAGUUGGGAUUUCUGUAUCCAGCCUUGCUGUCAGAGGAAUUUCCCCAGGAAUUGGGUUUGGGUUACAGAGGCGUGCGCAUUUUCUGAAGUUUAAGGAUCUUGGCUUGGGCUCUGACUAAAAUCCCACAAACUUUAAUUUAGUGGGAUGGCCUGAAAUGGGGACCGUGCCCUGGAGCUGCCCCUGACAUUAACCAGCUUCCCCAACGUUGUAAUUUCAGCCUGAAACGCUGCCAGACAGGGCAAGGAGCUGAUCCGGGAGGCUGCAGGAGUGGAAACAGUCAGAAAGAUCAGAGCUGGAAAUGCACAGACUCUGGGAGAAGCCAGCAGGAAAACAACUGGAGUGUUCUGCUGCACCUCGAUUUCUCCAGGCUGCAGAAAUCUCCAGGGUCGCUCCUGAACAUCCACAGGAAAAGCCACACAGAGAAAUUGUGCUUGGCCACAGUCAGGGGAGUGAUUUGGCUUUGUCAGUUGAGCUCGCUGAGCCCAAAGAUACCGAAAAUUGUCUGUACUCUCGAUAAUCCCCGUGGAAUCCAACUGGGCUGAGAAAGAUUCUCCUGUCACCUUUUGAUUCCUGCCCAGAAAGAUGCUUCCCAGGCCUCUAAGCAGAUUUUGAGGAUGACAGCCAGCUGCAAUCCAGGAGUCACUGCUAGUUUUGAGGCGCUGCUUGAUUUUAGAGAAUAUCUGAAGGGACUGCCUAAAAUCCAGCAAACCUCCUUGGCUUCUCUUGGAUUAAUGGAAUACCUGGAAGAAGCAGCGCCGCUGCCAUCUGCCCUGUGGCUUCCUGAGGCUUUCUCCAGGCUGUUCCAUCAGCCCAGCACAGAAUUUUUAUGGUUUUAAUGGUGUUUUUAUAUUGGAUUGGACUGGAAUUAGCACAGGCAGCCGUGUCAGGGGAAAGCGCUGGAGCUGGAUUAUCUCCGUUAUUGGGUACGUACACCUCGCAAUUCCACUUGCCAGGAACCUGGGAGAAUCUCUCCCUCCAAGCACAGAAGUGCUGGAAGAGGAUGGUUUGAGGAGCAAAACCCCCGGGAGUCUUGCAGCUUCCUUUAAUUCCUGCAGCAGUUCCCUGAGGCCAGGAGAGUGAUGGGUCUGCAAUAUUGAUUACCCGGGACACGGGGCAAAGCCUGGAUCCGUCAGGAUUAAUUAAGGAUUAAUCAGAGCCUGCUCCUUUCCGCUUCGCUGUUGUCCUGGUGGCUUUUCCAGCCUGCAGAUCCCGGCUCCGUUUUCCAAAGGCAGCCUUGGAAGGGCUGAACCCCAGGCAGGAUUCCAGCUGUUGUCAGCAGGCCACAGCCGUGAGGAAUGAAAAUUUAACUUCUCCCAGAUGUUCUCCCGGCUUCUCCCCCGUCUCCUUCCCGUCCCAUCUUUCAUCCUGCUGCCGGUGGAGGUGGUGCCCGUGGCCAGGGCAGCGCUGGGCUCUCCCAUAAUGGACCUUGACAGGGAAGGGAACAGCAAAGGGGAGAGAUCCAGCCCUCAGCCACAGCCAGAGCUGGAAUUUUAAGGGAUCAAAGGCACCCAGGCAGCCCCUGCAGGAGGGAGAGCAUCUGGAAGAAAUAAUAAUCAGAGGCUGAGGGGGCUGCUUGGCAUCUUCCGAGCAGGUUGGAGCAGCGGCGGGGUGGGGAAAUUGUCCUUUAGCUUUCGGCCGCUCUUGGAGGUUCGAUGGCAGAACCAAAGAUUCCCAAAUGGCUUGGGAAGCUGCCGUGGGGCUCAGCUCCUCGAGAGGAAAAGGCUGGAAUGGGAGCCAAUCCUAUUAUUUUGUUGAUUUAUGUUUUUCCGUAGCACGUGCGGGAGCGGUUGCUACGGGGAAGGGCAAGGGUUGUGUUUAUAAAUGAUGUAAAUCGAAUUACACAGGCACACGCACGUGGAGCCGCUCGUGUAAUACACGGGGUUUGGAUUAAUGGACUAUGGGAUAGCACAGGCCAGCGUGGCUGUACGUGUUCCUAGGACGGAAUUCCUGCCUGGCAGGGUGGGCAGGCCCCGGCACAGGGUGCCCAGAGCAGCUGCGGAUCCCUGGAAGUGUCCAAAGCCUGGACAGGGCUUGGAGCAGCUGGGCUGUGUGACCAGUGACAGGAUUGGGGAGGGAAUGGCUGGAGCUGUGUCUGGGAGGUUCGGGUUGGAUUUUGGGAAAGGUUCUUCCCCCAGAGGGUGCUGGCACAGCCCAGGCUCCCCAGGGAAUGGGCACGGCCCCGAGGCUGCCGGAGCAGCUCCGGGAGGGUUUGGACAGCGCUGCCAGGGGUGCACAGGGUGGGAAUGUUGGGUGUCUGUGCAGGGACAGGGGCUGGAUCAAUGAUCCUGAUGGAUCCCUUCCCUCUCAGCUUAUCCUGUGAUCCUCAAAGUGUUCCCUGAACUCCCCUGGUGUCUCCAGGUGCUGCUGUCCCACCCCAGAGAGUCUGUGUGGUCACAGCUCAGUGCCCUGGGGAUGGCUGGAUCUCUCCACAGGCACUGCCUCACCUGGGAGCUGGGAUCCUGGGGCUGGAGCCCUCCUCACUCCCCAUCCCUCUGGAGCCUUCCUCACUCCCAAUCCCCUGGAGCACGCCUCACUCCCAUCCCUAAAGCAAUCCCCAUUCCCCUGAAGCCCUCCCUGGUCCCCUGGAGCCCUCCUCGCUCCUCAUUCCCCUGGAGCCCUCCUCACUCCUCAUUCCCACCCCUGGAGCCCUCCUCGCUCCCAAUCCCCCCAGAGCGACCCUAAUUCCCAUCCAGCAAUCCUCAUCCUCACUCCCAUCCCUGGACCAAUCCUCAUUCCCCUGGAGCCCUCCUCGCUCCCCAUUCCCAGCCCUGGAGCCCUCCUCGCUCCCCAUUCCCAGCCCUGGAGCCCUCCUCGCUCCCCAUUCCCACCC